CAGCUCGCGCAUGUGACCGCGGAACUCCACAGGCAAACAGCGAUGGCCUACCAUCUGUCAUUUUGACAGAUUAUUGCCAGCAAUAUGAUUGCAAGAUUUUGUGUGUGGGCACUUUGAUAUCUUAACAUAUCAUUUUUAAAAUGGCGCCAACAAAGCAUGUUCGAUGUAUUGAAGCUCUUAAGCAUUUGGAAAUGCUAAAACAACUUUAUAAAGAGGAGGAAAAAAGAAAAAAGCCGCGGUUUUGGGUGAACCCAUUUUUAAUGCAGAGGGAACUUCACGACUUGGAAGCAAACCUUUUAAAAAACAUUUUAUGGGAAGAUGGUACCGACUUCAACAACUUUUGCAGGAUGUCCAUUGACCAAUUCAAUGAGGUUCAUUCACUGGUGGAUACUAAAAUUAAAAAAGUGAUACAAGGAUGAGAUGUGCCUUUACAACAAGAGUUCGCCUAGCUAUAACUUUGCGCUACUUAGCGACUGGCGAUUCGUUUCGUUCUUUGGAAUUUCUAUCACACAUAUCACGAAGAACAAUAAGCAAAUUUUUGCCAGAAGUUUUGGAAGCAUUGACUGAAGCACUUCAGGAGGAAUAUUUAAAGACACCUACAACAGAAAAAGAGUGGUUGGAUGUUGCAAA